CAUAUUUUUUUGGUGUAAUCUUUACAAGAAAGUGGAAUGUGAAUGUGUUGUGUGCUGGUUUGUGUUGACACAAAGAAACUGAUAGAGCUUGUGUAUGGAACUUGUUCCUUUUGUGUGUGUGUGGGUGUGUGUGGGUGUGUGUGUGUGUGUGGGGGUGUGUGUGUGUGUGUGUGUGCCCUGUUCAGCAAUGUGGAAUAUUUAAAAUAUGUAACUUUAACGUGAUGUCAAAUUCAUUUUACACAAGAGAGGAAUGCAGAUGGAGAGCAGGCAGUGAAGUAGCUAAGGAUCUACCAUUUGGGGGGGAAAAAAGAUACUAUUUGCACAGUUUACGCCUCCUCCAGACAUUUUAAUGAAGGAAAGGGAAAAGGUUAUAACAGAGUGCCAAAGGUAAUAACUGGAGAUGUGGAUUUAAAAUCUAUAUCUGAGGUCAGAAAGAGCGGAGUUUGCUUGAUAGUGGUGUGACAAAAAAAAUAAAAUUACAUAAGAAAUCUGAUUCUCAAGACCACGAUCAAAAACUAUUUCACUAUAUUCCAAAAUCCAAUUUUAAACAUAAAAUAAAUCAGCUGUAUGUCAGCCUCCAUUUUUUUUUAACUAGCUACUGUUUUUUUUAACCUGUACUGUCUGGCAUUCUGGCAGACAGUACUAGAAAGUAAAUGUAUGGAAGGCACCAAAACAAGCAGGAAACUACAAAAGUGAAAGAGAGAAAGAUUCAACCAGCCUCAUCUUCAUUGAAGACAAACAUUCAGACUGAUUUUAGUCUUUUUUGUUUUCCAAAUUCCUGGGACAACUGAGCUUGACAUGAGCUCCAGAAGAAACACUUUUUAAAUACUGAACUUUACAGAAAAAGUAUCCUUGCCAUAAAUAAAGUGUACAUGUUAGAACAGGCCAAUGUACUGCCAGUGAGAACAUAGUGUUUACUAUAUAUUAACUUUUUCCAUUUGUGAAACUUCAAUCAAAGGCAAUAUUAAUGCUUCUUUUUGGUUUUUUGGUUUGUUUUUCAUCUGGAUCACACUAGAACUGGUCCAGCAAAAAGCAAAAAAAAGACAAGUUCUCCUGUGUUUGUGCGGUUAGGGGUCUCUAAUUUGAUUAGCCUAAUUGUAAAGGCUAAUAAAAUACCACUAUCAACCAAUCAUAUAUUUUUCGCUUUUUCCUGCAGGCGACAUGCGCAGUACAGUGGACGCUGACGUAGAGUGACGUCAACUGAUAAUCCCUCAAUAAAACACUUUAUUGAUACUGCUUGGUUUCAAGCAGGACUACAGUAACCUUUGUCAAAAGAACACAUUAAUGCAUUUUAUACAUGUCGCUGAAGACACUGUAUGCAAACUUGACAACAUUUUUCUUUAAAGAAUUUAGUACGAGUCGCGGGAGACCAGCGGCCUAUGCGUGGUCAGUCUAUCCGAGGCCAACACCAGCCGAUCGGUGCUAAUGGACAACAGAGGAAGUUCUGGGAGCGUUGUUCUGUGUGCUCGAUUUUCUCCUACUCUCUUCCCUGCAAUUUCCACCAGAGGGCGCCCCGGAGCCAGGUGAUGCAAAUCAUAGACAUGAAUAGACGCAUCAUAGACAUGAAUAGACGCUUCAUAGAGCGGGUCGGCCGGUUCCUGCGAUACGUCACAGCGUCCGCCAUAUUGAAUGUGGCCUAUGUGCCAGUAAGCUAACACAAGUAUAUGGACCGAACUUCAGAAAGUGCCGUUCUACAAAGUAUUUUAAGUUAAUACCUGUAAUUGACACCUUUUCUCACACACACCAAUAUAUUUGGUAAUCAAAUAAUUGACUAAAGACAGAGUUCCUAACUUUUGAUGUGAUUAUUUAAUUGUUUUGGUGGAUUUCUGAAUAAAGAGCACAAUGUUUUUAUUUGA